GUAGUCAUAUGCUUGUCUCAAAGAUUAAGCCAUGCAUGUCUAAGUCCAAGCUGUGUUCACACGGCGAGACCGCGGACGGCUCAUUAAAUCAGUCGUGGUCCAAAUGGGCCAGUGCAAAUCCUACUUGGAUAACUGUGGUAAUUCCAGAGCUAAUACAUGCAACUGAUAUCCCGAAGGCGGUGUUGGGGCUUGCUUGCCUUGCGCUGCGCUGCUCUGACGGAUGCUUUUAUUAGACCAAGCCGCUGAGGACUUGAGGGUUCGCGCUCUCUUGUUUGACUCGUGUGAUGGUGACUCUGGAUAACCAAAUUCUGACAAGCGCACGUACUUCUCUUCUGAGCGAGACGGCGCUGCCACUUUCGAGUGUCUGCCUUAUCAGCUAUCAACCGUUCGUUAUGCGCGACCGAUGGCUUUGACGGGUAACGGGGAAUCAGGGUUCGAUUCCGGAGAGGCAGCCUGAGAGACGGCUACCACGUCCAAGGACGGCAGCAGGCACGCAAAUUACCCAAUCCCAGCAAAUGGGGGAGGUAGUGACGAAAUCUAACGAUGCGGGCGCCCUUUCUGGGGCCCCGCAAUCGGAAUGGGCACUUUCUAAACAACCUGUUGAGAACCUACUGAAGGGCAAG
rnacentral:rRNA from 1 species